rnacentral:rRNA from 1 species
CAUAUACAUGCAGUCGAGCGCGCCCUUCGGGGUGAGCGGCGGACGGGUGAGUAACGCGUGGGAAUAUGCCCUUCUCUAAGGAAUAGCCUCUGGAAACGGAGAGUAAUACCUUAUACGCCCUUUGGGGGAAAGAUUUAUCGGAGAAGGAUUAGCCCGCGUUAGAUUAGGUAGUUGGUGGGGUAAUGGCCUACCAAGCCUACGAUCUAUAGCUGGUUUGAGAGGAUGAUCAGCCACACUGGGACUGAGACACGGCCCAGACUCCUACGGGAGGCAGCAGUAGGGAAUCUUAGACAAUGGGGGCAACCCUGAUCUAGCCAUGCCGCGUGUGUGAUGAAGGCCUUAGGGUCGUAAAGCACUUUCGCCAGAGAUGAUAAUGACAGUAUCUGGUAAAGAAACCCCGGCUAACUCCGUGCCAGCCGCCGCGGGGUAAUACAA